rnacentral:rRNA from 1 species
CCCUUAGACGUUCUGGGCCGCACGCGCGCUACACUGACCGGUGCAACAAGCAUCCGUCCUUGGCCGACAGGCCCGGGCAAUCUUUGAACGCCGGUCGUGAUGGGGAUAGACUUUUGCAAUUUUUGGUCUUCAACGAGGAAUGCCUAGUAAGCGCGAAUCAUCAGUUCGCGUUGAUUACGUCCCUGCCCUUUGUACACACCGCCCGUCGCUCCUACCGAUUGAAUGGUCCGGUGAAAAUUUCGGACAGUGACGAUGCUGGCGGUCCGCCGCCGGCGCUGUCGCUGGAAGAUCUUUAAACCUUAUCAUUUAGAGGAAGGAGAAGUCGUAACA